GGAAAGAUGCCAGAGUGGUUGAUUGGGACGGUCUCGAAAACCGUUGUACUUGCAAAGGUAUCGGGGGUUCGAAUCCCCCUCUUUCCG
rnacentral:tRNA from 1 species